rnacentral:tRNA from 1 species
GCAUCUAUGACUGAAUGGAUAAAGUGCUCAACUCAUGAUUGAGUUUUUGCGGGUUCAAUUCCUGCUAGAUGCA